UGUAGUCUUUGAAGUCCUCUGAUAGUC
rnacentral:piRNA from 1 species